GAUGAACGCUGGCGGCGUGCCUAAUACAUGCAAGUCGAGCGAACGGACGAGAAGCUUGCUUCUCUGAUGUUAGCGGCGGACGGGUGAGUAACACGUGGAUAACCUACCUAUAAGACUGGGAUAACUUCGGGAGACCGUAGCUAAUACCGGAUAAUAUUUUGAACCGCAUGGUUCAAAAGUGAAAGACGGUCUUGCUGUCACUUAUAGAUGGAUCCGCGCUGCAUUAGCUAGUUGGUAAGGUAACGGCUUACCAAGGCAACGAUGCAUAGCCGACCUGAGAGGGUGAUCGGCCACACUGGAACUGAGACACGGUCCAGACUCCUACGGGAGGCAGCAGUAGGGAAUCUUCCGCAAUGGGCGAAAGCCUGACGGAGCAACGCCGCGUGAGUGAUGAAGGUCUUCGGAUCGUAAAACUCUGUUAUUAGGGAAGAACAUAUGUGUAAGUAACUGUGCACAUCUUGACGGUACCUAAUCAGAAAGCCACGGCUAACUACGU
rnacentral:rRNA from 1 species